rnacentral:rRNA from 1 species
AAUACGUUCCCGGGCCUUGUACACACCGCCCGUCAAGCCAUGGAAGUCAGGGAGACCUGAAGACGGUACCCGUAAGGAGCCGCCUAGGGUAAAACUAGUGACUGGGGCU